AGUAACGCGUAGGUAACCUACCUCAUAGCGGGGGAUAACUAUUGGAAACGAUAGCUAAUACCGCAUAAGAGAGACUAACGCAUGUUAGUAAUUUAAAAGGGGCAAUUGCUCCACUAUGAGAUGGACCUGCGUUGUAUUAGCUAGUUGGUGAGGUAAAGGCUCACAAAGGCGACGAUACAUAGCCGACCUGAGAGGGUGAUCGGCCACACUGGGACUGAGACACGGCCCAG
rnacentral:rRNA from 1 species